UUUAGUUCUUGUGAAAGAAGAGAAGAGUCAUAGUUGGAUCACAAACCUUUCUGAAGUAGAUGAUGAAAUCAUGUUUGGAGUUUAAAUGUUCUCUUCAGCUCACUUGAUGCAUAUAUAUGCAUUUGCUUUUUAAAGAGCCAACACUGUUGCCUGUGUUGGCCCUGAAUCCUGGGUUCAAGUGAUCCUCCUGCCUCAGUCUCAGCAGUCGCUGGGACUACAGGCAUGUGCCACUGCAUUUAACUCUCCUUGUUUAACUGUCUGUAUUAAUUGUAGAGGGCUUCAUCACCCCAACCAGUGCUGCAAUUUCAUUCUGAGCCUUAAAUCUGAUCUUUGUGUCUUUUAAAAUUGUGUCCAAAAUAGAAACUCUUAAAUUCCUACAAAAGUGGAAACUGGAAGUUCUCUACAAACAUGACACUAUAAAGUGGGAUUGGCCUCCGAUUUUAGCGGGUUAGUUUUUAUUUGUUUUUUAAGUUAACAAGCUUUAUUUAUUUAUUUAUUUUUUAAUAUUUAUUUUUCAGUUUUCGGUGGACACAACAUCUUUGUUUGUAUGUGGUGCUGAGGAUCGAACCUGGGCUGCAUGCAUCCCAGGCGAGCGUGCUACCUCUUGAGCCACAUCCCCAACCCCACAAGCUUUAUUUUUUAGAGCAAUUUUGGGUUCAACACAAAAUUGAAAAGUACAGAGAAUUCCCAUGUACCUCUGCCUGGCACAUGUACCACCUCUUCCAUUACUGACAUCCUGUACAAUUAAACAAUGUGCAAGACUGGCACAUUAUUACAGUCCACGAACCUACACAGACACAUAAUUAUCACUCAAAGUCUAUAGUUUAUAUUAGAGUUCACUCUUGGUGGUAUACAUUCUAUGAGGUUUAUUUUUUUGUUUCUUUUUAAAUUUUUUAGUUAUAUAGGUGGAAACAAUAUCUUAUUUUUUAUUUUUAUGUGGUGCUGAGGAUCGAACCCAGUGCCUCACGCAUGGUAGGCAAGUGCUCUACCUCUGAGCCACACCCCAUCCCUCCUAUUUUUUGUUUCUGGUUUUCAUGCUGGGGACUGAACCCAGGGCCUCCUGCAUGCUAGGCAACCAAUCCCUCUACCACUGAGCUCCUCCCACCCCUGUUGUAUUACAUUGAUGUAUUUGUUCUUUCAUCAAUACCACCUGUGGUUACUGAAGCUAUAUUAGGUUAUGAACCUGGGUCAUGUCAGUUCUCUGCCUUUGUUCUUCAAUAUUGUAUUGACUGUUCCGAGUCUUUUGCCUCUCUAUCUAAACUUAAGAACUAGUCUGCUGCUAUCCCAGAAUAAUAUCCUGGAAUUUUUAUCAGCAUUUCAUUGGAUCUGUAGAACAAGUUGAGAAGAAGGGAUGUAUUAACAAUGCCGAGUCUUAAUCAUGAACAUAGAAUACCCCCAUCCCAGGCAGCAGGAGAUUAUCUAACUUUUUGUUCUUAACCAAACUGUAGCUGAAAUAUGAUAUCUUAGUGUAGUUUUAAUUGGCAUUUGUCUUUUGUUGUGGUUAAGCAACUUUUAAUAGGUUAAAGUAUAUGAAGUUGUCAUUUUUAUAAGUCAAAAUUGACAAUUUUGUAUAGUUCAAAGUAACAUAUUUGUUAGUACUGGUGCGCAACGGUAAUCUCAGCUACUCAGGAGGCUGAGGCAGGAAGAUGGCAAGUUUGAGGCCAGCCUGGGCAAUAAUAAACCCUGUCUCAAAUAAAAAUCAAAAGGGCUGGGGAGGUAGCUCAGUGGUAGAGAGCUUGCCCAGAAUGCUUGAGGCCUGAGUUUGAUCUCCAGCACCACAAAAACCAAAAACAUUAGUAUAUUUAAGAGCCGCUUUACUCAGAGCAGUUUUUGUUCUUUGCUUAUUUUUCUACCAGGUUGUUGGUCUUUUUUCUUUCUUCUUCUUAAUAAUGAAUAGUAGGAGAUAUUUAUAUUUUAUGCAAACUAAACUUCUGUGUGUCAUUUGAAUUGUGAAUUUUUCUAGUUUGUCAUUUAAUUUUGCCAAUGGUAGUUUUUUUAAAAAUAUUUUUUUAAUUGAUGGACCUUUAUUUAUCUUUCUGAGGUGCUGAGGAUUGAACCCAGUGCCUCACACAUGCUAGGCAAACACUCUACCACUGAGCUACAGCCCCAGCCCACCAAUGGUAGUAUUUGUGUGUAAAUUUUUAAAAAUAUUUUUACUUGUAGAUGGACACAAUACCUUUAUUUUAUUUAUUUAUUUUUAUGUGGUGCUGAGGAUUGAACCCAGCGCCUCACAUGUGCUAGGCAAGUGCUCUACCACUGAACCACAACCUCAGCCCUAUAUGUAGAUAUUUUGGAUGUUAACUUUGUCACUUGAUUAAGAUCACAAUUGCUAGAUUUAUCCACAAUAAAGUUACCCCCACACACUUUCCAUGCUGUAUUCUUUGGAAGCCAGUGGCUACAUCUAUCUCACAGGAGGGUGGGACUAGUUUAUUUAUUUAUCUAUCUAUUUAUUUAUUUAUUUUUAUGGGUACUGAGGAUCGAACCCAGGGCCUCGCACGUACUAGGUGAGCGCUCUACCACUGACACAACCUCAGCCCCCUGUGUGACCUUUUAAUGAUGAAAGCUGGAUUAUAUCAAAUUUCCUGCUUGUGCUUUUGGAUGGCUGCCCACUGUGCGCAGAGUGAGAGGUGAGUCUGUGCCUGGCCUGAGAGAUCUUGCCUGGGGCAGGAGGUUGGCAAGUUUGAGGCCAGCCUGGCAAUUUAGCAGGACUGUCUCAAAUUGAAAAGUCCAAGGGUCUGAGAAUGCAGCCCUUUGAGCAACUCUGACUCCUCCUGAAAUGCUCCUUCUCCAGAAAAGUCCUCCCAAUCCCAAAUCUCAUUAGACCUCCCUGUGAAGACCCAGUAUUUUUCCUCAUGUGGCAAAUAGUACCUGGUGGUCACUCAAAUCCUUUCUCUUCUUCUUUGGUAGUAAUGAACUUGCCACUGGACAUGUGAUACCCAUCUACACUUCAUUUCAACCCUCCCUUGAGGUUGGUUGGACCAUGUGACAAGUUCUCUUUAGUGGAAUUUGACUUGGGAUGAUGUGUGCCACUCUCUGGAGUGGCCCAUAGACAUUCCUAUGCAUGCCCUCCAUCCCGAGGACAGGAAUGACCCUGUUAUGGUUAGGAUAUAAGGUGUCCCCCCAAAAGCUGCUGUUAAUAUUCAGAGGUGAAAUAAUCAGAGUAUGAAAAUGGUAACCUAAUCAGUCCACCCUAGUUUGAUUGGACUAAUUUGGUGACAACUGUAGGCAGGUGGGUGUGCUAGAGAAGCUGGGUUUUUGAGGAUGCAUGUACACUGGAGGGCUUCGUCUUCUACUUCUUGGCUGCAAUGCAACUUUCCUCCACCUUGCUCUUCUGUCAUGAUGUUCUGCCUUUCCAUGGGUCCAGAGCAUUGGAGUUGGCCGACCAUGGACUGAACCUCUGAAACUGUAAACCCCAAAUAAAUUUUUCCUCCUUUAAGUUGUUUUUGUCUGAUAGUUUGUCAGACAAACAAAUAAAUAAAAUGACCAAAAUAAAUAAAUAACAACAACAAAAAACCCCAGACUACUACAGGCUCCAAACAGAUGACCAUGGGAGUGGCAUGCAAAUGGGUACUACUAGGGUGCUUCGAUGACAGCAUUGGGCAGGCAGCCCCACCAACCUGGACCCCUGGUCUAAACUGCUCUAUGAGGGAGAAUCACAUCUCUGGGGCCUAUUUGUUUCUGCAGCUUAGCCUAUGCCAAUGUGAACCUUCUAGUUCAGUUCACAUGUGAUCAGUGGCGAGCAGCAAAAGGCUGAAGGAGUAAAGGGAAGGCUUUGAGUCUGAAUGGAAGAGUAGGUUUAUUAUGCCUUUUGUAUAUUUCAAUGACAACCCGAGAGAUGUGGAAUAAAAUAUCCACCCUCACAAAUGCAGUGCCGGGAACUUUCCCAAGCUUGCAAGAAGCAAGUACGAGAAGCAAAGAGAAGCCUGAGCUCCAGAGGAGCAGCCGGUGAGCCGGGAGGUUGGCAGCCCCAAGGGCUGGUGAUGGGUAGAAGCUUGGUGUUUUGUUGUUGUUGUUCUGUUAGUGACUUCAAAGUAGCAUUCAGUGGGGGCUGGGAUAAGCUCAUUGGUAGAGUGCUUGCCCCACAUGCACAAGGCCUUGGGUUCAAUCCCCAGCACCACAAAAUGAGCAUUGACGGUCCUCUGCUAGUCACUCUGCAGAGCUCUUGACUGGCACCUGCUCAUUUAAUUAUCACCUCCUUAGGAGGGAGGUGCUGUUAAUGUCCUUACUUUAUGAGGAGCCCAAAGCAUAGAGAAAUUAAGUUACUUGUCUUUGAUCUCAGGCUGGAAAGAGAUUAGAGGUGAGACUGAACCCAGGACAUAUGGCUUUCUGAGUCAGUGUUCUUAAGGCACCAUAAGUCACUACAGUAUGCCAGGGUCAUAAGUAGAAAGAUGAGUAAAAACAGGACCAGCUUUUACCUUGGGAGUGAUGGUCCCACAUGCCUCCAUCAAAACCCAUACAUCCUGUGUCCCAGCAGGACCCCUGCAUUAGACCAGAGAACAGAACUCUGUUCACCAUAAUUCAUUUUCUGGUGCUAUAACAAAAUACUCAAGACCAGGUGAUUUAUAAAGAUUAGAGAUUUAUUUAGCUCACAGUUCUGGAAGCUGGGAAGUCCAAGAACCUGGUUUUGGUCUCUGGUCAGGGCUUCUUAUCGCAUCUUAAUGACAGAGGCAUCCUAUGGUGAGAUAGCAAGGUGCAUCAGAGAGAGCUCAUAACAUUAUUUGUGUUAUGAAUAAUGGAUUAAUUCCCCAAGCCCCCACCAUACCAUUAAUAGUUGAUUUAGAGAGUUGUUUCCAAAACCUGAAUUCCAGGAACACAUCCAAACCACAGCGCUCUUCCUUCUGCUUUCCAAGCUGUCAGUAGCCCUGCCAGUUCAGGUCUGUGGGGGAGGAGGUUUAAAUUCUUCUUACUCACUACGUUCUUCCCUUCUGAAGAACUGGGAGUUGUAAUAUUACUACCAGGCUCUGCCCUACAGCACUACAGCCCCCUGUGCUCCACCUAUCCUGGGAAGCCUCCUGGGAAUCAGCAGGGUAGUGGCUGUCUUGUGGGAAUUGGCCACAGGAGCUACUAUUAGAAAUAAGUUCAGAUUUCCCUUUAUGGAGCUGCAGUUGUGGCAUAGGCAGAGAGGAACAGGGAUCAGGAACCCUACAUUACAGGUGGAGCAUCCCUAAUCCCAAAAUCUCAAAUCCAAAAUUUUUUUUUCUUUCUUUUUUUUAUUGGUUGUUCAAAACAUUACAAGGCUCUUGACAUAUCAUAUUUCAUACAUUAGAUUCAAGUGGGUUAUGAACUCCCAUUUUUACCCCAAAUACCAAAAUGUUUUAAAAUCCGAGACUUUUUGAGCACUGACAUAUUGCUGCAAGCGGAAAAUUCCACAUUAUAAAACAUUGCUUCAUGCAUAAAAUUAUGUGAGAUAUUUUAUUAAGGUACCUUUAGACUCUGAAUAAAUCAUAUAUGAAACAUAAAUGAAUUUCCUGCUUAGGAUCAGGUCUCAGCCCAAUGUCUCAUUAUGUAUAUACAAAUAUUCCAAAAUGGGAAAAUUCCCAAAUCCAAGACAUUUCUGGUCCCAAGCAUUUUGGAUAAGGUAGAUGCAACCCGUAUUUCAUGUCCUUGGGAUCCUCCAGACAUGCAUCGUUCUUGUGUCAUUCUGUGCAUAAGUGCCAUAUAUCACAGCAUAAUCAUCACCACCACAUAAUCAUUGUGCCCUGUUUUUGUUUUUUUUUUUUUUUGAUCCAAAAAUUGGUUUAUAACUUUUUACUGUGUAAUUGUUGCAUGGUAUGAUUUCAUUUGCCAGGAACAUAUAGGUGCAUGUUUCUGUUCUCUUGCUCUGUGAUCUAUGAGUAUAUUUCCAAAAGCCAACACACCAGGCUUGUUUAGAGUACCUCAGAACUAAUGGUGAACGCAUCUUACACGUGGCGCUCAUGAGGACCUCGUGAUACCAAGAACUGUGGUGCAGAACCUUGGAAUACAGAAGAUUACAUUUUGUAAGUCUAUAAUUUGUAACACUGUAGUAAAUUUUCUCAAGAAAUAUGGUGAUAUUUCUACUAUAACAAAUAAGUUACAACUAAUGUGUUAACUUUUUUUUUUUUUUCAGACGGGAAAAAUGUUCCCUCAACUGUCGGGAAGAAAUGAUACAUGUGAAUUUGGACAAUUCUAUCAUUAUUUAUUUAUUUAUUUAUUUAUUUAUUUAUUUUUUGUGUGCUACUAGGGAUCAAACUCAGGGCCUUGUGGCAUGCAAGACAAGCACUCUACCAACUGAGCUAUAUCCCCAGCCCUGGACUAUUCUAUUUUAAUGUAUAUUCAUGAGUAUUCUGUGCAUCCUAAUCUUGCACCAAUGACAGUUUACUAAUAAACAAUUAUUAAGUAACACUAGCACAGUUUUUUAAAAGAAUUUCAAAAAUUCAUAAAAUCUGCAACAAUUAUGUGGUGAAAUAUAGUAUUCCCCCACAAACAUAGGAAAGAGCCCUCAGAUUACAGAAAGAUGGCAGUAAGAGAAUUCUACAGUGUCCCCGCUUAUCAGAGGUAUUGCCUUCUAUAGUUUCAUUACCUGAGAUUAA
rnacentral:tRNA from 1 species